rnacentral:misc_RNA from 1 species
GUGAAUCAUCGAAUCUUUGAACGCAAAUUGCACUCUCUUGGGAGAGUAUGCCUGUUUGAGGGUCAGCCUAAAAACAAUCCUCAUAGUUGCUGUUACGCGGUAACAUUCGUUGGAAAUUGGGUCAUAUUAAACUUUUGGGUUUAAGCGGCUUAAAAUUUUGUUUAAGACUUACAGAUCGUUUCUAAGAUUUUAUUUUCUUAUACGUUUAAGGUAUCGAUCUUUAUUAGACGCGGCCGUUGCAGCGGAU